GACGAACGCUGGCGGCGUGCUUAACACAUGCAAGUCGAACGGAAAGGCCCUGCUUUUGUGGGGUGCUCGAGUGGCGAACGGGUGAGUAACACGUGAGUAACCUGCCCUUGACUUUGGGAUAACUUCAGGAAACUGGGGCUAAUACCGGAUAGGAGCUCCUGCUGCAUGGUGGGGGUUGGAAAGUUUCGGCGGUUGGGGAUGGACUCGCGGCUUAUCAGCUUGUUGGUGGGGUAGUGGCUUACCAAGGCCUUGACGGGUAGCCGGCCUGAGAGGGUGACCGGCCUCAUUGGGACUGAGAUACGGCCCAGACUCCUACGGGAGGCAGCAGUGGGGAAUGUUGCACGAUGGGCGGAAGCCUGAUGCAGCAACGCCGCGUGCGGGAUGACGGCCUUCGGGUUGUAAACCGCUUUCGCCUGUGACGAAGCGUGAGUGACGGUAAUGGGUGAAGAAGCACCGGCUAACUACGUG
rnacentral:rRNA from 1 species